AAAGGAAUUGACGGGUCCCCGCACAAGCGGUGGAGCAUGUUGUUUAAUUCGAUGCAACGCGAAGAACCUUACCAGGGCUUGACAUCCCUCUUCACCUGUGAAAGCAGGUUUCCCUUCGGGGGGAGGAGACAGGUGGUGCAUGGUUGUCGUCAGCUCGUGUCGUGAGAUGUUGGGUUAAGUCCCGCAACGAGCGCAACCCCCACACUGUGUUGCCAGCACUACGGGUGGGCACUCACAGUGAACUGCCGGUGACAAACCGGAGGAAGGUGGGGACGAUGUCAAAUCAUCAUGCCCCUUAUGUCCUGGGCUACAAACGUGCUACAAUGGCCGGUACAGACGGAUGCGAACCCGCGAGGGUAAGCGGAUCCGAAAAAGCCGGUCUCAGUUCGGAUUGCAGGCUGCAACUCGCCUGCAUGAAGGAGGAAUCGCUAGUAAUCGCAGGUCAGCAUACUGCGGUGAAUACGUUCCCGGGGAUUGUACACACCGCCCGU
rnacentral:rRNA from 1 species